CCCUGGGGGCACCCUGACGAAGCAUGCCGCGUGAAUGAAGAAGGCCUUCGGGUUGUAAAGUUCUUUCGUGGAGGACGAAAAGGUGGGUGCUAAUAUCGCCUGCUGUUGACGUGAAUCCAAGAAGAAGCACCGGCUAACUCCGUGCCAGCAGCCGCGGUAAUACGGGGGGUGCAAGCGUUAAUCGGAAUCACUGGGCGUAAAGGGUGCGUAGGCGGUGCAUUAGGUCUGUCGUGAAAUCCCCGGGCUCAACCUGGGAAUGGCGGUGGAAACCGGUGUACUAGAGUAUGGGAGAGGGUGGUGGAAUUCCAGGUGUAGCGGUGAAAUGCGUAGAGAUCUGGAGGAACAUCAGUGGCGAAGGCGGCCACCUGGCCCAAUAUUGACGCUGAGGCACGAU
rnacentral:rRNA from 1 species